rnacentral:rRNA from 1 species
GACAGAGGUGCAAACGUUGUCCGGAAUCAUUGGGCGUAAAGCGCGUGUAGGCGGUUCGGUAAGUCCGCUGUGAAAGUCGGGGGCUCAACCCUCGAAAGCCGGUGGAUACUGCCGGACUAGAGUUCGGAAGAGGCGAGUGGAAUUCCCGGUGUAGCGGUGAAAUGCGCAGAUAUCGGAGGAACACCGGUGGCGAAGGCGGCGAUCCUGGACCGGCAUUGACGCUGAGGCGCGAAAGCCAGGGGAGCAA